AGUUCUAUGGUGUAAUGGUUAGCACUCUGGUCUCUAAAUCCAACGAUUCGAGUCUCGGUAGAACAU
rnacentral:tRNA from 1 species